rnacentral:rRNA from 1 species
AUUGAACGCUGGCGGAAUGCUUUACACAUGCAAGUCGAACGAUGAACCUUAGCUUGCUAGGGGGAUUAGUGGCGAACGGGUGAGUAACAUAUCGGAACGUACCUAGUAAUGGGGGAUAACUAGUCGAAAGAUUAGCUAAUACCGCAUACGCCCUGAGGGGGAAAGUAGGGGAUCUUCGGACCUUACGUUAUUAGAGCGGUCGAUAUCUGAUUAGCUAGUUGGUGGGGUAAAGGCCUACCAAGGCGACGAUCAGUAGCUGGUCUGAGAGGACGACCAGCCACACUGGAACUGAGACACGGUCCAGACUCCUACGGGAGGCAGCAGUGGGGAAUUUUGGACAAUGGGGGCAACCCUGAUCCGGCCAUUCCGCGUGAGUGAAGAAGGCCUUCGGGUUGUAAAGCUCUUUCGCAAGGGAAGAAAACUUACAUUCUAAUAAAGUGUGAGGCUGACGGUACCUUGAUAAGAAGCACCGGCUAACUACGUGCCAGCAGCCGCCGUAA